CCCAUUAAACUAAUUGCUACAGGCAAUUUAUUCCCUCACGACUAAAUCGGUAGCGCUCAUAAAGAUAAUUGUCCGACUGCCUUAAAGGAUCGUUCCCUGAUUUUCUUGCAAUGAUGGCUCACGAGAACCUCUUACAAACGGCUUGUUUGGGGCAAACACACAACGUACAGGAGAGUGGUGCUGAGGACUCCUGCCUGUUUGGUGCCAGGGUCCUGGACUGAGAAUGCAGGCUAAGCAAUUGGGUCAGAGAUGUCACUGUGCCACCACAACACGGGACCAUGAUCUCAGUGUUUCCAUUGUGAUCUGCUUCUUCACAUUUCACAGAGAGUGCAUUUUAUUAUUGCUUCUGUAUCACUGUAAGACAUUGGAUAUAAGCCAAUAAAAUAUUAUUGGGGGCUGCAA